CUGGAAGUUAAAGUCUCCAUUAGUGACGGUGCGAAAAUUGUCUCACAUUCUGAUGAUGCUGAUGUAUAAUUAGCUAAACAGAAUGGUUCAGUUUUCAGACUUUUUCUCCAACAUCUACGAGUAAGAAGACAAUAUGAAGGAUCAAUACAAUUCGGCCGUCAGGUGGGGCAGCGACUGCGGUGGCGACACCCAACUCCUCCUCGUACAGGGAGAGUAAUCCGUAGCACUACGUGUCCCGCACGGCAGCGGUUUUGACGACCCGAACCUAAAGCCCGAAACCUCGACGUCUCCUGUCUUCUUCCUCCUCACCUAGUUCAAGAAACUCUCUCCUUCCUCUCUUGCUUCAUGGGUGGAGGGCUCUCCCGUCAUGAUUCGCCCUCUGUGGCUGACACAAGCGCCCCAUCCAAUCUCGAUAAAGAUCAGAUGCUUGCGCAGGCAGAGAAAGAAAUGGGCUUCAGAAUAGAUCAUUUAAACCGGCUUGCUCAUACCUGUUUCAACAAGUGUGUUGACAAAAGAUUUCGGACCACAUUUGGCAUAUUUCAUUCAUCAUAUCUGGAAAAUUUGAAAGUGUGGACUGUUCUAUCAAAAUGGAUGAACUUCCAAAAACCUCUGUCAAGAGUUUUACCAAAUUAUAAUGUCAGGUUUUCUUGAUGUUUCCUGUACAAGAUACAAAGAUUCCGAGCUCUAUAUUGGCGAAAACAGUUGCGUUGAUCGUUGCGUUUCAAAGUAUAUUCAGGUGACAAAUAUAAUUGGACACAUACUGGCUUCCGGCAAGCCACCAGUUUGAAGCAGCUGCUGCUUGUAGAGCAAAUAGCUCAAUUCUUUCUUCAUCUGCUGCCAACAUAAUGAAUGAAUGAUGAUAGCACCUCCAAAAUUGAUUUGGAAAUGUUUGAUAGCUAUUACCUUACUACCAAUUCUUGAAUUAUUUGAUUACCAAUUGAAUAUAUAAUCCCUUAUUACCUCAUCUAAAUUGUCUGUAC